AAGCUCCCGGCCCUACAAAGCAGUUCAUACGGAGGCUCCUGGUCCCAUACAGCUGCUCCUGGUCCCAUAUGGACACUCCUGGCCCCGCGGGGCUGCUCUCGGUCCCAUACAGAUGCUCCUGGUCCCAUAUAGAAGCUCCCAGCCCCAUAAAGGUGUUCUUGGCUCCGGGGGGGCUGCUCCUGGUCCUGUGGGGCUGCUCCAGGCUGUAUAUAGGACUGGUCCUUAUAUAGGACCAUACAGCAGCUCCUGGUCCCAUAUGGACACUCCUGGUCCUAUAAAGGUGCUCCUGGCCCUAUAAACCCGCUCCUGCCCUAUAAGAGCACUCCUGGUCCUGGGGGGCUGCUCUUUGCCCCAUAAGGCUGCUCUGGCCCCUAUAUAGGACCGGUCCCUAUAUAGGGCCAUACAGCAGCUCCUGGUCCCAUAUGGACACUCCUGGUCCUAUAAAGGUGCUCCUGGCCCUAUAAAGCCGCCCCGGCCCUACAAGAGCACUCCUGUCCCUGUACAGCUGCUCCCAGCCCCGUGAGGCUGCUCUGGCCCCUAUAUAGGACCGGUCCCUAUAUAGGGCCAUACAGCAGCUCCUGGUCCCACAUGGACACUCCUGGUCCUAUAAAGUUGCUCCUGGCCCUAUAAAGCCGCCCUGGCCCUAUUAGAGCACUCCUGGCCCUGGGGGGCUGCUCUUUGCCCCGUAAGGCUGCUCUGGCCCCUAUAUAGGACCGGUCCCUAUAUAGGCCCAUACAGCAGCUCCUGAUCCCAUAUGGACACUCCUGGUCCUAUAAAGGUGCUCCUGGCCGUAUAAACCCGCUCCCGCCCUAUAAGAGCACUCCUGGCCCCGUACGGCUGCUCCCAGCCCCGCGAGGCUCCUCCGGGCCGUAUAUAGGACCGGUCCCUAUAUAGGACCAUACAGCAGCUCCUGGUCCCAUACAGCAGCUCCUGGCCCUAUAAACCCACUCCCGCCCUAUAAGAGCACUCCUGUCCCUGUACGGCUGCUCCCAGCCCCGCGAGGCUCCUCGGGGCCGUAUAUAGGACCGGUCCCUAUAUAGGACCGUGGGGGGGGG
rnacentral:lncRNA from 1 species